CGCCUGCAUGAAGUCGGAAUCGCUAGUAAUCGCAAGUCAGCAUAUUGCGGUGAAUACGUUCCCGGGUCUUGUACACACCGCCCGUCACACCAUGGGAGUUGGCAACACCCGAAGUCGAUGAGCUAACCUUUUAGGAGGCAGUCGCCUAAGGUGGGGUUGAUAACUGGGGUGAAGUCGUAACAAGGUACC
rnacentral:rRNA from 1 species